CCCCUCUCAGGGUAACACCUGGAGAGUUUCCAGUACUCUACCAGUAUCGGCCAUGGGAGGUAGAGUCAACCAGGGGAAUAUCCAUUCCAUUCCUAGCCAGGCCAGUGGCUAGAGAGUGGAAGGCAAUCUGCUACAAGU